UCUUCUUCUUCUUCGCUGAACCAAUCCAAUUCUUCCUUCUAUUGCUUCUUCUUUGUCCCACAUUCUUCCAUCCAUGGCAAGAAAAAAACCUCAAACCAAUUUUCAAACCUCCCAAUCAAAAUCAACCAACCCCUCUUCAAACCCUCCAAAUUACAGACUUUUUUUGCAUUAAUUCUCAAUGAAAUCCUCUAACCAGCCAGCCGACAAACCAACCCUCUUCAAACUCUCCCAAUUAAAAAGAUCCAUCUUAGUAAACAAUGGGUUUGCUUGGAAGAUUUGAUCAAAAUGACAAAAUGAGAUGGCGGUGCCGGAGGAGGAGGAGUUCUACAUCUCCGGAAUUCUGACCCAUCCAAAGCCAACCAACACCAUCAACACGGUGGUCGCGGCCACAAUAGUGUACACACACAGUUUAAAUGUGUCAACGGCAUUUUAAAUCAUAAACAAUACGAAACGACAGCGUUUUUGGUAUCUGCGUUAUCGGAUGACGUGGCAACAUCUUGACCGUUGCCUCUGGAUUCAGCAGCAAAAACCAACGGAUGGAUUCACUCCCGGUGCCCAAUCCCCUAUCUUCUCCCCAGAACAAGAUCAGAACCCUCUCAGAAUUUCUGUCUGCAUUUCUAUCUCUCUCCAUUUCUCCCGCCCCUUCUCUGCAUCUCUCUCUCCAUUCUUUUGCGAUGGAGAUCACCGUCGCUCUGAACCAUUCAGUUCUUUCUGCUAACUCGCGAAUUCUUACUAGUAAUUUUAACACCCGGUCAGUUUCUGCUCUUGGGUUCUCUCUACCAUGUCUAAAAACUCCAUGCCUCAACCGUUACAGAAGAUUUUUGACCACGAGGGCCUCAAUUGCAGUCGAACAGGAGACGCAGAAGACGAAGGUUGCUGUCAUAAGAAUUGGCACCAGAGGGAGCCCACUAGCACUUGCACAGGCUUACGAGACUCGAGACAAACUCAUGGCAACACAUCCGGAGUUGGCUGAAGAGGGGGCUAUCCAAAUCGUUGUAAUAAAAACAACAGGUGAUAAAAUACUAAGUCAACCACUUGCAGAUAUAGGAGGGAAGGGCUUAUUUACAAAAGAAAUCGAUGAGGCUCUUUUAAAUGGUGAAAUUGACAUUGCCGUCCACUCAAUGAAGGAUGUCCCUACUUAUUUGCCAGAUGGAACUAUAUUACCUUGCAAUCUUCCACGCGAAGAUGUCCGGGAUGCCUUUAUUUCCUUGAGUGCAUCUUCGCUAGCAGAUCUUCCAUCAGGAAGCACUGUUGGUACUGCUUCACUCAGGAGGAAGUCACAAUUACUUCAUCGAUACUCAUCUCUUAAUGUGCUGGACAACUUUCGAGGCAAUGUUCAGACAAGGUUAAGAAAACUAAAUGAAGGGGUAGUCCAAGCAACAUUAUUGGCAUUAGCCGGACUCAGACGCCUAAAUAUGACUGAAAAUGUGACUUCAAUUCUUUCUAUUGAUGAAAUGCUUCCAGCUGUUGCUCAGGGGGCAAUUGGGAUUGCUUGUCGAACCGAUGAUGAUAAGAAUGCUAAUUUCAUAGCCUCAUUGAAUCAUGAGGAAACUAGAUUAGCAGUUGCAUGCGAGAGGGCUUUCCUUUUGACAUUGGAUGGCUCAUGUCGCACUCCAAUUGCUGGAUAUGCUUGUCGAGACAAGGAUGGAGACUGCAUUUUUAGAGGGUUGGUCGCCUCUCCUGAUGGAACUCGAGUACUUAAAACUUCCAGAAAAGGCCCAUAUGCCUUUGAGGAUAUGAUUCUAAUGGGGAAAGAUGCUGGCAAAGAACUUCUCUCACAGGCGGGUCCAGGAUUUUUUGAUUGUUGAACUGUUUGAAGGAGGAAUGAAGUUAAAGUGAAAGACAUCCAGGCAUUGUCUUCCACUUACAGCAUUAGCAUCCAUUGAUUUCAUUCAUUCAUCUUUCAGGUCUUUGAGAGGAAGAAGCAGCAACAGCAACAGUAGUUUGCCACCUCGGAAGCCAUAACUUAAUGGGGGUGGUUUUGUGUAAAACCUUGUUCAAUAUCAUUGUUGUGUCAACUUUGUUGAAGCAUAGUGCAAGUGAGAUGUAGUUGUAGUUGAGAAUUAUAUUAGGGCCAUUCCAGUUGUCUGGUAGAAGCUAAGCUGGGUGUGGCCAUGGCGAAUCUUUCGAUCAUUUCUUGAAUGUAACAGGAAUUUGUUUGAUGAAUGUACUUUCCUCUUAUGAGAUCUUAAGAACCAUCAAAUCAAGAAAGCAAAGUGUUUACAUGACAAGAAUGGAAUGAGCUUCUCUCUUUAUUUUC